GUAAAAGAUAGAAGAUUCAACAGAAGUGUGUGGUGAUGAAUGUGUUUGGCAGUUUGUCUCUUGUGGUGUCUUUUUCUCAUCGGAAAAUUUGCAACGCCAUUCCCACCUCCGCCUACAUCCGUCUUUCACCUGCCAGUUCAUGUUUCAAGAAUUGUUCGGUAUUAUAUGCGUUGGGUGAAGAAACUAUUUGAAUUCAAUGUCUUGGUCUAUACAUGCUUCAGUGCACAAGGAGACAAGCAUGAUUCACCAAAAGCUUAUUACUUUUGCAAAACUUAACAACCCGAAAACUGAAUUCAAAAACCCUGCAACUUUUGCCUUUUUUACUCUAAAUAAAAGUUCCAUUACAACCUGUAAUUUGAAAGAUAAAACUCCAUGUGAUGAAAGAUAUAAAACAUGGGCAAUGAUUCACUGUCCGCCAGUCUACUGUAUGGGUAAUGGCGAUCCAGAAGAGUUGUCUGAUGAAGACGAGGAGCUCUGCCCGGUCGAAUGUGUCAGAGAAAUCAAGACGGAUGAGGAAUUAGUCGGUGUGCUGGAAAAAGCAAAAGGAGCUAAUUCAUUGGUUGUGGUAGAUUUUUACCGCACUUCGUGUGGUAGUUGCAAGUAUAUUGAACAAGGUUUUGCAAAACUGUGCAAAGGGUUGGGUGAUGAGGAGGCUGCAGUUAUCUUCUUAAAACAUAAUGUGAUUGAUGAAUAUGACGAGCAAUCAGAAAUUGCAGAGCGUCUACGAAUUAAGUCGGUGCCUCUCUUUCACUUUUAUAAAAAUGGAAUUCUUUUGGAAGCUUUUGCAACCCGAGACAAGGUGCGGAUUAAAGAGGCUAUAGAGAAAUACACAGCACCUGCUUCUACUGCUGCUCAAAAUGCAUAAGACGUCUUGGUCCUCUGUGAACUAUAGUUAGAUAAUUCUCGACGUGGAGCUAUAUAUAAUUCAAUCCAUGCUGCAUUGUAACACAUAGCAAGCUGUAUUUCAUUGGUUGUAGGUCAGCAGGGUUAAACCCUCUUGUCGACGUUCUAUCUGGACAAGAGGACAUAAAACAUGCCCAGAAGAACAAACAUGAUAUGAUCUGACGCAGGUUUAACCAAUUUGACAUGAGAUACAUAGCUCUCAACAAGAAACUUAAAGCCGAUCUCCAGCUCUGCAUCAAAGGACCCAUCAGAAUGGCGUUGAACUAUGUCCGAUCGUCGACACCAUGGAAGAAAAUCUUGAUACAUGUCAACAGCAGCAACCACUGCAUACAUCUGCUCUGGGGAAUACCUGAUAAACCAAACUCAGUCAAUAAACUUAGGCAAAAAUUUAACCACAGAAUUGAAGUAAAACAGUCAAUUUUAAGGGCUUCAAAUAAAUAAGAAUUUUACCCCAUGGUACACUUCUCCUCAUGAACCUUUGCCAAACCUUUACUCCCUUGAUCUCCAUCACCGCAACCAAGAAAACCUCUCCUUUGAAUAAUAACCGUACUACCAAAAGGUGUAUUGUGCAAACAGAAGGGUGCGGCCUCAUGACUACCACUGAAUAGUUCACCAGAAGGGGGCAAUGCUUCGAACCUUGCGAUGCUUCUAAACCACCGACUUUGAACAUAACUUUUAGGUGCGGGAUCGUUUCUUAAACAUCUGAUUAUCUGUCUACCACCAUUUUUGCAUAUAAAAAGCUGCCGGGCGGCCUUUGAUGUUGAUACUACCGAUGACAUUGGAAGAAUUAUCAACACUGAAAGGACAAGAUAUAUAAGCAUCAUAUCCUCAUUAAGAAGCAUGUAGGAUGUGCUAAAUAACAUUGCCCACUCGUCCAUCAAUUCACACAUUCAUAUAAGGUUUCAAGUUAUAUGAUCAUAUUUGGUUACAUUGUUUAAUUAUCAUGCAAUC